GAGAAAAGCAAGUCUUCUGAGGAAGAGCCCACCUGGGUGGAGCUGCGGGGAGCAUAGAAGCUGCUGGAAGGCAGAGCAGGCCCUGCUUCUCCUGGGGUACCAAAGGGCAAACUGAGGAUGAGAGCUGCUGGGAGGAGAUGUCUGGAGCAGGGAUUAGGAUCCACCCAGAGUCUAGCCUCAGCCACAAACCAUGUGUGAGCUUUGGAGCAAGUCACCUGACCUCCAGACCUCAGUUUCCUCAUCAUGACAGGAGAAUUAAGGAUUUAACAACCUGGCCAGACCCUCAGGAGAUGGUGCUAACAUGUUGGGAUGGCUCUUAGAAGCAUGGAAAAAGUGAUGGCUCAAAUCAAGUAAGACUAACAAGUCAGAGGCCCCAACAGAGAGCAGCGCAUCGGCCCAGAUGAGGGCCGUGAGCCACGUCUGGGAUGGACAGGAGGAAAGGAGAAGCUGAGAGACAGCAGGCACCACUGCAGCACUGUGCGCUGCUUCCUAGUCUCAGGACAGUCCCCUCUGUGAAAAUACACACUUCUCCUUCCUGAAGGAUCUGAUCCCGCCCUACAUUACAUUUUAGUUUAUGUAUGUAUAUGCUUAUCUCUCCUGCCAACUGCUGAGCUUGCCGAGAAAAGGAGUCUUGUUUUAUGAAAUAAAUAAUAAAACUAAUAUUUAUGAGCACCUGUUAUGAGAUAGGCGAUUUCAAAAAUGUUAUUUCCUUCACCUUUCAUGUCAACCUCACAAGGAAACUAUGACUAUCGCAGAUUUACAGGAAAGAAAACCAAGUUGCAGAAAGGAUAUGAGAUUUGUGAAGGCCCUA
rnacentral:lncRNA from 1 species